rnacentral:rRNA from 1 species
UGGAUCCAGACUUUGAUUAUGGCUCAGGACGAACGCUGGCGGCGUGCUUAACACAUGCAAGUCGAACGAGAAGAGAUGAGAAGCUUGCUUCUUAUCGAUUCGAGUGGCAAACGGGUGAGUAACGCGUAAGCAACCUGCCCUCUAGAUGGGGACAACAGCUGGAAACGGCUGCUAAUACCGAAUGCGUUCUUUCUGUCGCAUGGCAGAGAGAAGAAGGGGAGGCUCUUCGGAGCUUUCGCUGGAGGAGGGGCUUGCGUCUGAUUAGCUAGUUGGAGGGGUAACGGCCCACCAAGGCGACGAUCAGUAGCCGGUCUGAGAGGAUGAACGGCCACAUUGGGACUGAGACACGGCCCAGACUCCUACGGGAGGCAGCAGUGGGGAAUCUUCCGCAAUGGACGAAAGUCUGACGGAGCAACGCCGCGUGAACGAUGACGGCCUUCGGGUUGUAAAGUUCUGUUAUACGGGACGAAUGGUACGACGGUCAAUACCCGUCGUAAGUGACGGUACCGUAAGAGAAAGCCACGGCUAACUACGUGCCAGCAGCCGCGGUAAUACGUAGGUGGCAAGCGUUGUCCGGAAUUAUUGGGCGUAAAGGGCGCGCAGGCGGCGUCGUAAGUCGGUCUUAAAAGUGCGGGGCUUAACCCCGUGAGGGGACCGAAACUGCGAUGCUAGAGUAUCGGAGAGGAAAGCGGAAUUCCUAGUGUAGCGGUGAAAUGCGUAGAUAUUAGGAGGAACACCAGUGGCGAAAGCGGCUUUCUGGACGACAACUGACGCUGAGGCGCGAAAGCCAGGGGAGCAAACGGGAUUAGUACCCCGGUAGUCCUGGCCGUAAACGAUGGAUACUAGGUGUAGGAGGUAUCGACCCCUUCUGUGCCGGAGUUAACGCAAUAAGUAUCCCGCCUGGGGAGUACGGCCGCAAGGCUGCAACUCAAAUGAAUUGACGGA